rnacentral:rRNA from 1 species
CGCGUGGAGGAUGACGCAUUUCGGUGUGUAAACUCCUUUUAUAUGGGAAGAUAAUGACGGUACCAUAUGAAUAAGCACCGGCUAACUCCGUGCCAGCAGCCGCGGUAAUACGGAGGGUGCAGGCGUUACUCGGAAUCACUGGGCGUAAAGCGCGCGCAGGCGGCCUUUUAAGUUGGAUGUGAAAGCCUACGGCUCAACCGUAGAACUGCAUCCAAAACUAUUGGGCUAGAGUGUGGGAGAGGAAGAUGGAAUUAGUUGUGUAGGGGUAAAAUCCGUAGAGAUAACUAGGAAUACCAAAAGCGAAGGCAAUCUUCUGGAACAUUACUGACGCUGAGGCGCGAAAGCGUGGGGAGCAAACAGGAUUAGAUACCCUGGUAGUCCACGCCCUAAACGAUGAAUGUUAGUCGUCGGGUAGCUAGUCUAUUCGGUGAUGCAGCUAACGCAUUAAACAUUCCGCCUGGGGAGUACGGUCGCAAGAUUAAAACUC